CACAGCCAUGCUGCAUGCUCUCCAUAUCCCAUAUCUGCAUGCACUCCCAAAUCCCCAUCUGUAAAAUUGGGGUGUUGGGAGCAUGGGUACAAAACUGAUCAGAUUAACACCCACCCUCACAUGAUAAAGGGAUGCACCAAGAGAGCAACAGGAUGUCCUCUGCCAAUGUAAUGGCUUCAAGUUAUCUGAAGAACUUCUACAUCCAUUUGAACUUGCCUACCCAUGGAGAUCGUUGCAGGCCUUGCUUCAAGUAUCCCCAGCUUCAGAGAUUUAACACAAUCAGAUCCAUAAUUCCAAAACAACAUCAUGUCCAAGAUAAGCAGGACAUUUCUCAGAUUCAAAGUUACUAUGAUCAAAAUUUACCAUACAUAGUAUGAUUCAGUAAAACGAAUACUGUUUGAAGUUGAAAUCCUA